rnacentral:misc_RNA from 1 species
GAGAGAGAGAGAAUGGAGAAAUGUAUUUUAGUCGUUAUAAAAUUUCUCUCUCCUCGGAUCAUAGAAAAAUUACUUGAUGAACGAUUUCUUGGGUGGAGGAACUUUCAAUUUUGAUGAAACAGAAGUCAAAAACUAAAUAAAUAAAACAAAACUGAGGGACAAGUUUAUACUUUUGCCAUUUCAAUUUCUCCUUGAAAGAAGGUUCAUAUAUCCUUAGAGAAAGUAUGUUAGUGCUCUGUUAACACCCAAUAAUCCCUCUCCCUAUAUCCUGUACUAUUUAUUGGUUAAUUAAAACUAAUUUUCCAGAACUAACUAUACUUAUUUUGAUUUUUGUUAAAUGAAUAGAAAUUUAAGAAAC